AUCAAGAUGGGUUCGGAUCACAUAUGAUGAUUUAUCGCAGUUGUUAACUUGAUAUACGAUGGAGGCUGCAAGAUGCAUAUCGUUCUCUUAUACGUAGUCUCAACACACAGGGAUCUCUUUUAGCCUCUAUUUAUAUCCACUGUCAUUGUGUGAUUUCAUAGUGGAAGGGCCAAAAUUUUGUUUUUGCUCAGGAAAUAGUUAAGAGGAAAGGAUGGUUGCAGCCUUACAGUUUUAUCAUAUACAGUGAUCAAAAUUAAAGGACAGCGCGUCCACUCAUUUAUGACAGCCCAUCUGUGACGAACCAGAUUGCCCCGUCACACAGGACUUUAUCAUUGACGGGCUAAAAUAAAACCUAUUGUAGAUGAGGCUGGAUGAUACAUCCCGUCAUAGGUGUUACGUUAUCUUUGACGAGUUAAUGUGUAGACCUGACAUUGAUGCUAUCUUUCGGUUCAUAGGUGAAGAUUCAUCUGUGACGGAUGUUGAAUUAUUACCUAUCACAUAUGAGCACUAUUAUCUCUAACGGAUUGAAAAUACUACCAAACCUUGAUUCCCCUCAAACAACUUUUUAUUUUUAUUUACCCAUCACUAUUAACAAGUUCAAUCUUAUCUAUUUGCUCCUGCUGACUGUGCCUAACCUUGAUUCCCCAACAUCAUCUCUCUUUUGAUUCACCAAGCGCUUGCAACCCUAGCUCGACGGACGCCUCUACAUACGUCUUUAACCACGCACUAGAGGCUGCAUUUUUUUGCCACGGAGUGCCGGCUGCCACCUCCAUCUCCACUCUCGGGCCGACCAUUGUGGGAUCAAGCUUUUCCCAGAGUUCAUGGUAGCUAGAUUUGGCCAUCCACCAUGGGGACCGGUGAUGGAAGCGUCCGUGGUUGUGCAGCUGUUGACCUCUCCUCUGGCGUGGAUAGUGACGAGCUUUGGAGGGGCACAACUCCACAGCAUCAUAGACCCAUUCUCUGCCUCCGCAGCUAGUGCUGGGCCGGCCUUGGGAUCUGAACACCCCGAACCGCCUUU
rnacentral:sRNA from 1 species